rnacentral:rRNA from 1 species
AGCAGCCGCGGUAAUUCCAGCUCCAAUAGCGUAUAUUAAAGUUGUUGCAGUUAAAAAGCUCGUAGUUGAAUUUCGGGGUCUGUCCAUCGGUCGGGCUUUUUGGUCCGCACUGUUGCGAUGGAUUCCUACCUUCUGAAUAACCGAUUUGCCAUUAAUUUGGUGGGUCGGGGAAGCAGGACUGUUACCUUGAAAAAAUUAGAGUGCUCAAAGCAGGCUAGUGCCUGAAUACAUUAGCAUGGAAUAAUAAAAUAGGACGGCAUGGUUCUAUUUUGUUGGUUUCUAGGAUCACCGUAAUGAUUAAUAGGGAUAGUUGGGGGCAUUAGUAUUCAAUUGUCAGAGGUGAAAUUCUUGGAUUUAU